GUUUUUGUAGUUGAAUACAACGGUGGUUUUUCAGAUCACUAGUCUCGGUGGAAGUCCGGGCAGGAACU
rnacentral:tRNA from 1 species